UAUUAUUACUCUUGAAUUUAUGGCAUCAAACCAGCUAACCUCAAACAUUUGGGUCGGAGCUUUACCGAGAGGGCGAUAAGACACAGAGGACGUGCCUCCUCGAAGAUUUGCACACCGAGACUGGUAUUUUCGUUUAAAGUGUGUCCAAAUCUCUCUCCUCUUUCUGAAGGCUUUGCUCCUCCUCCUUCGCGAUCCUGCACGGUAGUAUUUCUUCCUCCUCCUUCGCAAGCCACAACUCGGAUCUGCUUCCCUUAUUAGUUAUUCCAGCUCUCUUCCUUUUCUACAUGUCCAGGUUUCCCCAGAAACUCAUCAUGCCUUGGAAAACAAUGAGACAGAGACAGAAGAAUCAAACCAUUCCACCAUCCUAGAAAUCCCAACACCCAAAACCCCAAGCUUUCAGGCUCUCUCUUUGUGAAGGUCUCUUUGUGAAGGUGGCUUAUAAUUCUUAUUCUUCAAUGUUCUGUUUAACAGCGAAGAGAGAGAAAUUCCAGAUGAGUCUGACCGUUUUAUGAUGGAGCCUGUCAGUUUGGUAUCAAAACUUGCAAAAAGUUGGUCGAUACCUAGUCAUGUUGGCUGUUUGGUUCCGAAAAAAGAUUAUUGAGGGAUUUUCUAACCUCACAUUCUUUCAUAGAGGCAAAUGAGGGAAUGGUCUUUAUCUUCUGUUCUUAUUACUCUCACUGUUGCGUUUGGCACUAAUCUUUUGUUUUCUUUGCUAAACCUAGAAUGUAAUGACAGAUAAGAAGGUUUUUCCACUCUCACUUCAAAGUAAACCGCGAGCUUCAAGCAUCAGUUGUUGCAUAUCUUUGGACAGGCCAUUGACAUUCGUCUUCAGUGCAACCAAUCUUUGUAAUCUAAUCCCUUUUACAUUGAUUUCUCCCCCCCCCCCUGUCUCUCCCUUGUGAAUAUCAUGUUUGAAACUAAAAUCUUGGUAUUGAUUAUGUCAGAAACAACCCUUCUAGUAGUGCUACACUUGGCGUGACUAGUUUUAAUGGUCCCUUGUUAAUGUUCUGGCUGAAAUACUAAAAUGAUUACUGCUUUUUAGUACC